GCUGGGCUUCUAGCGUCCGGGCCGGUCCUCCCAGCUGCGGCCGCAGGCCCACGCCCCGUCCUUGCCCACACCUCCGCCCGCCGACCCAGGACACGUCUUUCCUCCGCUCCCUCGGGAUUUCAGGUCUGCCUUCCCGCCUCUCCCAAUUUCCCAGCUCGGGCGCUGGCCUUGGGGCCGGGCUGGGCUCACCUCCCUCCCGCCUUUCUUCACGCUUCUAGGGUUCUUUCGCCCUGGCCUUGCCUCCUCCCCCAUAGCGACUCACGGUUCCCCUCCCUAGGCACCAACAGUGCUCUCACGUCGGGCCAGUGCCCCGCUUCUCUUGGGGGAAUUGGGAGAAAAUUUUGGGAGGUAGGAGGCGGCCCACUUUUGUGGGAUCGUUUGGAGGAGGAAGCCCAAGCCUCCAGCGCUCCGAAUUCUAGCUCCUCCAAAUCAAACCUUACCUUCUCGCUCCCAUCUCCUACCCAGUGUCCACAUCAAGCCUCCACGUCCCCUUCUCUACCCCACACCUGCUGCCCCUCGGCACACCCGGGGAGGAGUCCGAGAGAAAGCGCAGGGAUAAGGGCUCCUCCCAGCAGAAGCCCAGAGGUCCAGACGCACCUGUAGGGCCCAGGGGGUGCCUGGAGUGGGGGAUGCGCUAGCGCUUGGACAAGGAUCCAGGCCCCCAGCCCCCAUCUUUCCUCUCUUUCCCUGGGAAGCCGGGGAUUCCUGGCGGUGGGCUGGCUGCCCCGGACCUCCCGGCUCCCAGCCUCAGCCCAGUCCCAGGCCACCCCUGCCCCCAGCCCACUUCAGGCCCUAUAUAUAGCACGGGUCUCCAUAGCCCUCUGCUGGACCUGACGUCAGGAAGAACUUGAUCUUGCCUGCUUCGCUCCUGCUUCUGAAACUGAUCCUUGAAAUGAGAGAACAGACUCUACACAAUUCCCAUGGCCUUGACAUAAGGUCUCCCUAUACUAAUCUGAAGUUUAAUGGGCUCGUGGUUCCCCUACUCCCAAGUGGAGGAAGAACUUUCCUGUCCACACUUUGACUUCUGCAGUGACCUUCAGAUUCCAACAGCUAUAUCCCAUCUCUGCUGCGACCUAGCGGUGCACUGUUGUAGGUGAAAACAGAAAUCCAGGAGCAGGAGGGGACAUGACACUAUUCAUAGGUGGCCUCCCCCAAACUCCAACACUGCAAGAGCCCAGGUGACUGCACAGAGUGGGGCAGAGGUAAUAUUUCAGCCCUGGGCGUUUCAGGUAAACAGCUUCUUUGGUCAAGAUGACAAAGGUAUUUAUUACAGGAAAUCCCUGGCAAGGAUGAUCUAUGCUUGUCCAAGAGAGCAAUAAAGGCACUUUUGCCCGGAGCACUGGGCUUCCGAGCCUGGCCUGCGAGUGUCUGACUGGGGCGGCGCUCACAUUCCUGCGGGAGACACAGUCUGCUCUUCUGCUUAGGAAGCUGUGCACAGCCUGCACCCCGGGUCCCGCCAGGGAGAUUGACACCUGCGACUUUGCUUGCGACCUGCUGUCCUCUCAACUCCUGGAUGGAACCGCAGCUGCGUUUGACCAGACUUUCAGGAAAGAUAAACCUGCCAUUGGGCAGCCACACCCACCGGCCUGCACACCCACACUCACACUCGGUGUCCAGCCCUCUCUGUUUUCUCCCAGUGUGGUGGUGAAUUUCUAAAACCUGGAUGAAUGUUUCCAAAACUUGCCCCAUGGGGAAUUUGUUAAAAAAUACAGAUUCCCAGGGCCUCUCCCACCCAGUCUGAUUUAGUAGGUUGGUGGGGUGGUGUUAAGAAGUUGUCACUUUAACAAGAUCACAGGUAGUUCUUGUGAUUGGGUAAAUUCUGCAGGUGUGGCCCAGGGUUUCUCCAACUACAGCAGGUAUCUGAGUCAGCCCGUGGGCUUGUGGAGAAAGGAGUGCUGACUUAUUUUAUUUUAUUUUAUUUUAUUUUAUUUUAUUUUAUUUAUUUAUUAAUUUAAUUUAAUUUAAUUUUAUUUUAUUUUAUUUUAUUUUACUUUUUGAGUGCUGACCUUCUUAGCUGGGCCUGAGAAUUUGCAUUUCCAACAAACUCCCAGGUGACGUGGAUGCUGCUGGUGUGGGAGCGGUGGGUUGAGAGCCUGUUGAGAGUCUGUGUGUAAACAGACCCUGGAGCCAGGCUGAAGCUGUUUAAACCUCAGGGUCAUGGUUUGUAAUACGGGUUUGGUCAUAAUAUUUACUAGCUAAGGGGUGUUAUGAGGAUUAACUGAGUUAUGUUCGUAAAGCUCUUAGAGCAGUGUGUGGCACAUGGUAAAUUAGUUAUUAUGUAAGUGUUUGUUAAACAGAUAAAAUGCUAGACUAGGUUGUAGGUGUCUAUUUAUUCAUGCACUUAUUGAAUACUAAAUGACACGUAUCCUGCUGCUGGAACCCUCAUGAGAAUGGGACCUUGUGGGGGUGCAAGAGGCUGACCCAGUCCCAUCUCAUUCUGAUCAAGAGAGGCAGACUUUCUGGUUACAGCUGAUGCAUUCUUCCAGCGUGCUACUUAUCUCCCCAGACCUUAAAAACAUAAUGUGAUCAACAUCAGGACCCUGUCCUACAGUCCUAGCACCCUGGACUUGUCUUCCUGGUGCCCAUCCCAAUCCUUAACCACACAUUCAUCUGUGUGAUGGUGUAACAACUAGUUCCUCGCGGAUAGCGUGCCUGGUUAGGACAGGCUUUGUUUCUGUGGCUUGUCCCUGCUGAGUCCUCAACACACAGGGCAGGGCCUGGUGCAUUAUAGCUGCUCAGUAAACUUGUUGAAUGGAUGGAUGGAUGGAUGGAUGGACGGACAAGUGGAUGGAUGAUACACAAUGGUCCCUCACCAGCCUCUUCCCAGGUGGCUAGAGCAGUCAGGCUUUCCCACCUCCAUUCUUGAUCACUUUAACCUUUUUUUUCCACUGCACCUGCAAAGGUAUUUCUAAAAUCUGGGUCUGAUCUGCCCAUUUCCCUGUUUGAAACUUCUCCUGUGGAACUCUUAUAAUAAUUUACUUCUUUGGGCCAUGUAUAGACUAAACUCCACGGCUUAUGAAUGAAUGCAUGUCUCCAUUUACAAAUAAUCAAAGCCACAUACUGCCAAACAGACCUGUUGAUUAGCAGGAGAUAAGAAGUACUAAUAAAA